GAUGAACGCUGGCGGCGUGCCUAAUACAUGCAAGUCGAGCGAACAGACGAGGAGCUUGCUCCUCUGACGUUAGCGGCGGACGGGUGAGUAACACGUGGAUAACCUACCUAUAAGACUGGGAUAACUUCGGGAAACCGGAGCUAAUACCGGAUAAUAUAUUGAACCGCAUGGUUCAAUAGUGAAAGACGGUUUUGCUGUCACUUAUAGAUGGAUCCGCGCCGCAUUAGCUAGUUGGUAAGGUAACGGCUUACCAAGGCAACGAUGCGUAGCCGACCUGAGAGGGUGAUCGGCCACACUGGAGCUGAGACACGGUCCAGGCUCCUACGGGAGGCAGCAGUAGGGAAUCUGCCGCAAUGGGCGAAAGCCUGACGGAGCAACGCCGCGUGAGUGAUGAAGGUCUUCGGAGCGUAAAGCUCUGUUAUGAGGGAAGAACAAAUGUGUAAGUAACUGUGCACGUCUUGACGGUACCUAAUCAGAAAGCCACGGCUAACUACGUG
rnacentral:rRNA from 1 species